AACGAACACUGGCGGCAUGCCUAACACAUGCAAGUCGAACGAGAUCUUCGGGUCUAGUGGCGCACGGGUGCGUAACGCGUGGGAAUCUGCCCUUUGGUUCGGAAUAACAGCUGGGAACGACGUCUAAUACCGGAUGAUGACGAAAGUCCAAAGAUUUAUCGGUAGAGGAUGAGUCCGCGUAGGAUUAGCUAGUUGGUGUGGUAAAGGCGCACCAAGGCGACGAUCCUUAGCUGGUCUGAGAGGAUGAUCAGCCACACUGGGACUGAGACAAGGCCCAGACUCCUACGGGAGGCAGCAGUGGGGAAUAUUGGACAAUGGGCGAAAGCCUGAUCCAGCAAUGCCGCGUGAGGGAUGAAGGCCUUAGGGUUGUAAAGCUCUUUUACCCGGGAUGAUAAUGACAGUACCGGGAGAAUAAGCUCCGGCUAACUCCGUGCCAGCCGCCGCAGUAACAC
rnacentral:rRNA from 1 species